AGUGAACGCUGGCGGUAGGCCUAACACAUGCAAGUCGAACGGCAGCACAGUAAAAGCUUGCUCUUACGGGUGGCGAGUGGCGGGCGGGUGAGGAGUACAUCGAACUCUACUUUUUCGUGGGGGAUCACGUAGGGAAACUUACUCUAAUACCGCAUACGCCCUACGGGUGAGAGCAGGGGAUCUUCGCCCCUUGCGCUAUUAAGUGAGCAGAUGUCGGAUUCGCUAGUUUGGGGGGUAAAGGCCCACCCAGGCGACGCUCCGUAGCUUGUUUGAGAGGAUGAACCGCCACACUGGAAAUGAGAAACGGGCCCGACUCCUUAGGGAGGGAGCAGUGGGGAAUAUUGGACAAUGGGGGCAAGCCUGAUCCAGCCAUACCGCGGUGUUGAAGAAGGGCUUCGGGUUGGAAAACCCUUUUGUUGGGAAAGAAAAGCAGUAGGUUAAUACCCCGCUGUUAUGACGGUACCCAAAGAAUAAGCACCGGCUAACUUCGUG
rnacentral:rRNA from 1 species